rnacentral:rRNA from 1 species
UCGGGAAUCUUGCACAAUGGGCGAAAGCCUGAUGCAGCAACGCCGUGUGAGCGAGGAAGGUCUUCGGAUCGUAAAGCUCUGUUGUUGGGGACGAAGGGCGAAGGGUUAAUAGCCCCUAGCCUGACGGUACCCUUCGAGGAAGCCCCGGCUAACUACGUGCCAGCAGCCGCGGUAAUACGUAGGGGGCGAGCGUUGUCCGGACUUACUGGGCGUAAAGCGUCCGUAGGCGGUCCUGUGCGUCGGUGCUGAAAGCGCCCGGCUCAACCGGGCGAGGUGCGCCGAUACGAUGGGACUAGAGGUCGGCAGAGGGGGGCGGAAUGCCGGGUGUAGUGGUGAAAUGCGUAGAGAUCCGGCGGAACGCCAGUGGCGCAAGCGGCCCCCUGGGCCGAUGCUGACGCUGAGGGACGAAAGCGUGGGGAGCGAACCGGAUUAGAUACCCGCGUAGUCC